UAUCAACUUCAGACUCUUGUGUUGUUCUCUGUUCCACUUCUUGUGGGGUUUCCAAUUCACCUCGCUGGAUUUGUCCAUUGAAUUGAUUUUUUCGGUGUGCUGGAUUUACUAAGAUCUCCAAAUUCCCUGCAUCGUCAUCUCUUUCUUUUGGAAGAUCAUUUUGAGUUUCAUUAAUAGCAAUAUGAACAGAUUCUUCAACACUCAACUUGUUAAUAUUGAAUACAC
rnacentral:lncRNA from 1 species